GGGAGCGAGAGAGAAGGAAGCGCUCGGGUCUGCAAGCGACUAGAGGCUCACGGAGGGCCCAAGAGACUGUCUAUCAUGGAUAAUUAACUGCAGUUCUGUGAGUAUCCCAAAUUAACCAUGAAGAUGAACUGCGAACUGUAAGUCAUUAAUUUCUCAUUACUCUUGGGCACAUUGAUGUAUUUUGGCUUCCUGGUGAGUUAACUUGUUACCUGAAGGUUGAUCUGAGUAAGGAUGUUUUAUUGGUUCAUGGGUUACUUAGGUGUUUUGUUUAUGUUGGUUUGAAAUGAUUUGUUAAAAUGGUUACAGGCUCCAGUGAAUUGUUGUAAGCAGGAGUAAUGGGUUGGGUUCUGAUAUCUUCAGUCUUCUUUCAUUCUACUCUCCUGACGUCUGCAUCUUUAUCACAUGAGUGUUGCUUUACUGAUGAGGGUGUGGUCUGAGCGAGCGGAGGUGCAUACUGGGAUACAGAGCUGUCUGAAGUCUACAGGUCUGUAGACACGCCCCCUCAGGGGAAACCGAGUGUUUGAGAAAUCGUCGAGACGUCAGUUACAUGGACUGGAAUGUUCUUUAAAAUGGACUCAGGGAUUCAGAAGGAGAAACACCAGGGGGAGAUGAGGGGGGCUCUUCAUCUCAACGACUAAAACACAACUUCAGUCUGACACAGAACCAUGGAACACAUUCAACAGUCUCCUCCAGGCAUCGUGAAUCCUCAAGAACAGUUUCAUUUCCAAGAAGGUCCUAUUUGGGGCCAUCCCCAUAUGGAUCCUGCUCCUCAAGAGCCACCCCCCUCCACUGGGUGGUCUUCUGAACAGAUGACCUCCUUCCUGUCCUCUGGCUGACUAAAGCUGCACAGUUUGCAUCUGUGAAGGCCCGUCAUUCAGGAAACCACUGGACUACAAAGACAUGACUUCAGAGAUGUUGAAUCAACCUGGGACACAUUUUGGAGACGCCAAGCAUAAUCCAUCACCAAUGUGGGACGCCACUGAAGAAUGUUGUACAUAAUUUACGUCUCUGGAGACAUUGGUUGUUCUGUUAUGGGUGCCCUGGCAGGAGAGCUGGGGUGAUGGAAUGUUAUUUGGCAUGAGGUUUUUACCCUGCAUGAUUGUUUGGCCUUUUAUGGCUCAGUGUUGUGUGUUUGGCAUGAGAUGGAUGUUUUUUGAGCAUCGAUAGGGUUCUUGUGUGUGUGUGUGUGUGUGUGUGUGUGUGUGUGUGUGUGUGUGUGUGUGUGUCUCUCCGACUCACACCUGGCAUGGGGUUCUACGUGCCUGUUCUGGGUUCUGUGUGCGUGUCCGGCUUGCUUUGACAGUGAUGUUCAUGCAGGGGUCUAUGUGAUUGGCCUGGGAUAUUGGAAUGGUCAAAUAAAUCAUACCUGAUGGACGGCCACAUGUUUACUUAAGGGCCUCCAGUAGACAUGAAGAGCCCUGAGCGACGCUCCGGAGUGAUAUCCAACACACUGGGCAGGAAGGAGAGUAUCCAAAUCAAAUGUAAAAGGAUGCAAGCAGCGUGUUCAGCUCAGCGACUUCAAACUAGGACUACACCAAUCAGGAUCAAUGGAGGAUGGACACCUAAAGGAAUUCCACAAGGAGACUGACGUUGGAAAGGGACGUAAAUGGAUAUUCAAGAUGACAUUCAGACCUGUAAUGAGACGGCUCUUCCUACCUGGCUGGAUUGAUGGAGAGCCCUCUGGAUCUUGUCUUGCUCUCAGUUGCACGUCUUCUCAGGCUGAACUGUAUUUUUUUCGGACAGGACUAGCUGAACGAUUGGUUCCUCAAAUCAGAACCACUCCGGGAACUCCAGCUAGUGCACUCUUCAAGCUGAAGUUGUGCUCUUCAGCUGAGGAGGUAAGGAAACCUUCGCUGGGGCUUCAAGGUGUAAAGAGGAGAAUGUUUGGAAGUGUUCCAUGGUACUCUGAUGAAGACCGUUGUUGUUUUCCUCUGGCUGAGAGAAUCAACCCACAUCUUCCUCUUGGACUUUCUCCUCUGAGAAGCCUGGCGCCAUCUUGAAGGAUAUUCCAGCUCAUGUAACUGAUGUCACGACAGAUUCUCAAACACUUGGUUUCUCCUUAGGGGCGUGUCUAUAGAACUGAAGACUUCAGACGGCACUGUAUCCCAGCAUGCAUCUCUGCUCACUCAGACCACACCCCCAUGAGUAGGAUGCAACACUCUAGUGAUGGAGAUGUAGAGUUUUAUAAGUAACGAGGGAGCAGACAAAGGUGAUUAGAACACUAUGGAAUGUCAAGUCUGUAAAUCUUUAAACCAUGAAGAUGGUUGGAUAGUUCAGGAAUUGGGCUUCUCUUCAUCAUUGGCAGUCUUUUCACUCAGAUGCCCACUUCUCACUGGAGCUGUACAUGUGUUGGCUGGCUGGCAUGAUUUGCUGUUGGUGAUGAGGCGGUCAGGGUGACAUUGCAGGGCUAUGGUCGGCUCGCUGUGAGCGGCUCGCUGUGAGCUCAACGUUUAGAUUUGCUCUGUAUGGUUUUUACCCUGAAUAAUCUAGAUAAUUGUAAAAUGUAGACACGGUUUUGUAUUGAAUGAUUCCAGGAUUUUAUGUUUAAAGUUGUUGUGGGACGAACAUGGUAGUUUGGUUCUUUGUACGGUUUUAAGUGAUAUAACUUGUAUACACUGGGUGCGUAAUAAUGUAAAGGUACACUGAAUAGUACUGUAUUAAUGACCAACAGCAACAAACAGAUCUCCUCAAGGUAAGUCUGUUGGCUGUGUUUUAAUGAAGACCAUCGCUGGACUUCAGGAUCUUCCUCCGUUCAGCUCAAGGUGAGGCGCUGGUUCUGUUUUUUCUUUGGUUGGUUCCGGCUGGAAUGUUCGGAUUCCAGUCGGACGGUUUGUGCUUCCCGCCGGGAAGUUUCUGAGUGCGGUCAUUUGAUUUAGUCCCAAUGGUUAGCAUAGAACGUUGUAGUCUUAAACCAUAAGAAACCACCUGGCAGUUAGUUGGACGGAAGUCCCCUGAGGGAAUCAGGCGGAACGUUCUGGAUUGUAUUUGCGUAACCUCGAGACGUUGUCAACGGAAAAUAUUUUUCAGUCGCUUUCCAUUGGGAAUGGUUGCCCCUAUCUUAAACAACUUAAGGUUGAUAUUAAAUACAUACUGACACGUACGUCGUACAAUAUGUUGAUAAUUUCCGAUGGUUGCGCCGUACUUUUAACCACGAUGACGUGACGGGACUCUCACUACGUACAAAACGGCGUUCUCCUUGCGGGCCCAUUUUUGACAUCAUUGAAGGCUGAAAAUAAUUUCAAGGUGGAAGAUAAUUUGACAUUUCUUCAACGGAACCCAGCACCUGAAUAUGGCUGAGUAUAUUUGAUUUACUAUCGGUACUGCUUCGUGUUCUAUGUUACUUCAGCUUUUGUAUGUUCUAAAUAUCUGCUUUCAUUAAUUGCCACAAGAUAAACCCUACCCAAUGGAAUGAUGUUAAACAACGACUUUGGUGCAGAGUUACCAACUGGAUAAUAUCAAAGCUAAAAUAAUGUCUGUCCUUCCCACAUGUUACAGUAGAAGAUACUCUAGAACUGUACAAGGUUGAAAAGGUAACAUGUAGUUUGUCCCAAGGUGUCUGCCUCCUCACCCAGAGCAAGACCUCCACCUCCUCACCCAAAGCCAGACCUCCACCUCCUGUCAGAAGUCCUCCAGUACAGCUGAAAGGCGAGGCUGGGGACCGGAGGCUUGUGGUGCCAGAGUGGACCGGAGACUGAGGCUGGAGACCAGGGGCCUGCAGCACCGGAUCAGAGGGUAACCAUCACCAAGCUCAUCUGAAACACUAAAAUCCAAGACCAGGAAUCCAUGGCUGAAGGAGUUGAUGGAGGAGCCGUGCUGAAGGAGCUGAUAGAGGAGCUGAUGGAGGAGCCGUGCUGGAGGAGCUGAUGGAGGAGCCGUGCUGGAGGAGCUGAUGGAGGAGCCAUGCUGACGGAGCUGAUGGAGGAGCCGUGCUGACGGAGCUGAUGGAGGAGCUGAGACGCUGGAGGUCGACUAGGAAUCGACCAACAAGGAUUCCUCAAAGUGUUUCUGGAGCGGAGGCAAGUUGGUAGAAGAGCGGGAAUCUGGAGGAUGACCAUCACUCUACCAACAAGCUGAAAGGCGAGGCUGGGGACCGGAGGCUUAUGGUGCCAGAGUGGACCGGAGACUGAGGCUGGAGACCAGGGGCCUGCAGCACCGGAUCAGAGGACCAGGAAUCCAUGGCUGAAGGAGCUGAUGGAGGAGCCGUGCUGAAGGAGCUGAUUGAGGAGCCGAGCUGAUGGAGGAGCCGUGCUGAAGGAGCUGGUAGAGGAGCCGUGCUGAAGGCCCUGCCUGGUGGAGGAGCUGGUGGAGGGCCUGCCAGGUGAAUGACUUCUGUCGUGGGACCAGGACUCUGUCUGAGGAGAGCUGCUGGAGGAGCUGAGACGCUGGAGGUCGACUAGGAAUCGACCAACAAGGAUUCCUCAAAGUGUUUCUGGAGCGGAGGCGAGUUGUUAGAGGAGCCGUGAAGCUGGAGGAUGACCAUCACUCUACCAACAAGGAUCCUCGUCUAUCAUGGAUAUUUAACUGCAGUUCUGUGAGUAUCCCAACUUAACCAUGAAGAGGAACUGCAAACUGUAAGUCAUAAGUUUCUCAUUACUCUUGGGCACAUUGAUGUAUUUUGGCUUUCUGGUGAGUUAGCCCAUUACCUGAAGGUUGAUCUGAGUAGUAAGGAUGUUUUAUUGGUUCAUGGGUUACUUAGGUGUUUGGUUUAUGUUGGUUUUAAUGAUUUGUUAAAAUGGUUACAGGCUCCAAGUUAUUGUUGUAAGCUGGAGCAAUGGGUUGGGUUCUUUUCAGCUACUCUCCUGAGCUCUGCAUCUUCAUCACAUGAGUGUUGCUUUACUGAUGAGGGUGUGGUCUGAGUGAGCGGAGCUGCAUACUGGGAUACAGAGCUGUCUGAAGUCUACAGGUCUGUAGACAAGCCCCCUCAGCGGAAACCGAGUGUUUGAGAAACCGUCGUGACGUCAGUUACAUGGACUGGAAUGUUCUUAAAGAUGGAGACAGGGAUUCAGAAGGAGAAACACCAGGGGGGAUGAGGGGGCUCGUCAUCUCAACGACUAAAACACAGCUUCAGUCUGACACAGAGAACCAUGGAACACAUUCAACAGUCCCCUCAGACAUCGUGACUCCUCAGGAACAGUUUCAUUUCCAUGAAGGUCUUAUUGGGGCCAUCCCCAGACGGAUCCUGCUCCUGAAGAGCCACCCCCCUCCACUGGGUGGUCUUCUGAACAGAUGACCUCCUUCCUGUCCUCAGGCUGACUAAAGCUCCGUUUGCAUCUGUGAAGGCCCCUCAUUCAGGAAACCACUCGACUACAAAGACAUGACAUCAGAGAUGUUGAAUCAACCUGGGACACAUUUUGGAGACGCCAAGCAUAAUCCAUCACCAAUGUGGGACGUCACUGAAGAAUGUUGUGCAUAAGAAAACGUCUCUGGAGACAUCGGUUGUUCUGUUCUGGUUGCCCUGGCAGGAGAGCUGGGGGGGGGGGGGAGAGGAGGAUGCUGGAAUGUUAUUUGGCAUGAGGUUUUUACCCUGCAUGAUUGUUUGGCCUUUUAUGGCUCAGUGGUGUGUGUGUUCGGUUUGACAUGAGAUGGAUGACUUUUGAGCAUCGCUAGGGUUCUACUGUGUGUGUCUCCCACUCACACCUGGCAUGGGGUUCUACGUGCCUGUCCUGGGUUCUAUGUGAAUGUUGUGCAUAAGAAAACGUCUCUGGAGACAUUGGUUGUUCUGUUCUGGUUGCCCUGGCAGGAGAGCUGGGGGGGGGGGAGGAAGAGGAGGAUGCUGGAAUGUUAUUUGGCAUGAGGUUUUUACCCUGCAUGAUUGUUUGGCCUUUUAUGGCUCAGUGGUGUGUGUGUUCGGGUUUGACAUGAGAUGGAUGAUUUUUGAGCAUCGCUAGGGUUCUACUGUGUGUCUCCUACUCACACCUGGCAUGGGGUUCUUCGUGCCUGUCCUGGGUUCUAUGUGUGUGUCCGGCUUGCUGUGACGGUGAUAAUGUUCAGACGGGGGUCUGUGUGAUUUGGCUUGGGAUAUUGGAAUGUUCAAAUAAAUCAUACCUGGUGGACGGACACACCUUUACUUGAGGGCCUCCAGUAGGCAUGAAGAGCCCUGAGCAACGCUCCCGAGCGAUAUCCAACACGCUGGGCAGGAAGGACGGUAUCCAAAUCAAAUGUAAAAGGAUGCAAGCAGCGUGUUCAGAUCAGUGACCUCAAACUAGGACUACACCAAUCAGGAUCAAUGGAGGAUGGACACCUAAAGGAAUUCCACAAGGAGACUGACGUUGGAAAGGGACCUAAAUGGAUAUUCAAGAUGACCUUCAGACCGGUAAUGAGACGGCUCUUCCUACCUGGCUGGAUUGAUGGAGAGCCCUGUGGAUCUUGUCUUGCUCUCAGUUGCACGUCUUCUCAGACUGAACUGUAUAUGUUUCGGACGGGACUAGCUGAACGAUUGGUUCUGAUUUAAGGGAACCAAUCCGGGAACUCCAGCUAGUGCGCUCUUCGAGCUGAAGUUGUGCUCUUCAGCUGAGGAGGUAAGGAAACCUUCACUGGGUCUUCAAGGUGUAAAGAGGAGAAUGUUUCAAAGUGUUCCAUGGUACUCUGAUGAGGACCGUCCGUUGUUGUGUUCCACUGGCUGAGAGGAAGAAACCUCACAUCUUCCUCUUGGACUUUCUCCUCUGAGAAGCCUGGCGCCAUCUUGAAGGAUAUUCCAGCUCAUGUAAUUGAUGUCGCGACAGAUUCUCAAACACUUGGUUUCUCCUGAGGGGCUUGUCUAUAGAACUGAAGACUUCAGACAGCACUGUAUCCCAGCAUGCAUCUCUGCUCACUCAGACCACACCCCCAUGAGUAGGAUGCAACACUCUAGUGAUGGAGAUGUAGAGUUUUAUAAGCUCGCUGUGAGCGGCUCAACGUUUAGAUUUGCUCUGUAUGGUUUUUACCCUGAAUAAUCUAGAUAAUUGUAAAAUGUAGACACACUUUUGUAUUGAAUGAUUCCAGGAUUUUAUGUUUAAAGUUGUUGUGGGACGAACAUGGUAGUUUGGUUCUUCGUACGGUUUUAAGUGAUAUAACUUGUAUACACUGGGUGCGUAAUAAUGUAAAGGUACACUGAAUAGUACUGUAUUAAUGACCAACAGCAACAAACAGAUCUCCUCAAGGUAAGUCUGUUGGCUGUGUUUUAAUGAAGACCAUCGCUGGACUUCAGGAUCUUCCUCCGUUCAGCUCAAGGUGAGGCGCUGGUUCUGUUUUUUCUUUGGUUGGUUCCGGCUGGAAUGUUCGGAUUCCAGUCGGACGGUUUGUGCUUCCCGCCGGGAAGUUUCUGAGUGCGGUCAUUUGAUUUAGUCCCAAUGGUUAGCAUAGAACGUUGUAGUCUUAAACCACCUGGCAGUUAGUUGGACGGAAGUCCCCUGAGGGAAUCAGGCGGAACGUUCUGGAUUGUAUUUGCGUAACCUCGAGCCGUUGCCAACGGAAAAUAUUUUUCAGUCGGUUUCCAUUGGGAAUGGUUGCCCCCUAUCUUAAACAACUUAAGGUUGAUAUUAAAUACAUACUGACACGUACGUCGUACAAUAUGUUGAUAAUUUCCGAUGGUUGCGCCGUACUUUUAACCACGAUGACGUGACGGGACUCUCACUACGUACAAAACGGCGUUCUCCUUGCGGGCCCAUUUUUGACAUCAUUGAAGGCUGAAAAUAAUUUCAAGGUGGAAGAUAAUUUGACAUUUCUUCAACGGAACCCAGCACCUGAAUAUGGCUGAGUAUAUUUAAUUUACUAUCGGUACUGCUUCGUGUUCUAUGUUACUUCAGCUUUUGUAUGUUCUAAAUAUCUGCUUUCAUUAAUUGCCACAGAAGAUAAACCCUACCCAAUGGAAUGAUGUUAAACGACUUUGGUGCAGAGUUACAAACUGGAUAAUAUCAAAGCUAAAAUAAUGUCUGUCCUUCCCACAUGUUACAGUAUAAGAGACUCUAGAACUGUACAAGGUUGAAAAGGUAACAUGUAGUUUGUCCCAAGGUGUCUGCCUCCUCACCCUCACCCAAAGCCAGACCUCCACCUCCUGUCAGAAGUCCUCCAGAACAGUUCAGUGCUCUGGUGUGUGAAGAGUCUUCUCAGCUGAAAGACGAGGCUGGGGACCGGAGGCUUGUGGUGCCAGAGUGGACCUGAGGCUGGAGACAAAGGGGCCUGCAGCACCGGACCAGAGGACCAGGAAUCCAUGGCUGAUGGAGGAGCCGUGCUGAAGGAGCUGAUGGAGGAGCCGUGCUGACGGCGCUGAUGGAGGAGCUGUGCUGAAGGGCCUGCCUGGUGAAUGACGUCCGUCGUGGGACCAGGACUCUGUCUGAGGAGAGCUGCUGGAGGAGCUGAGACGCUGGAGGUCGACUAGGAAUCGACCAACAAGGAUUCCUCAACGUGUUUCUGGAGCGGAGGCGAGCUGGUAGGGGUGCCGUGAAUCUGGAGGAUGACCAUCACUCUACCAACAAGGAGUACUAGGACUCCGGCUGAGGAGAGCUGAUGGAGGAGCCAAGACUCUGGAGGACGACAUCACUCUACCAACCAGGAUCCUCACCAGGAAUCUGGAGGAACGAUGGAGAAGCCGUACAUCUGGAAGGCAACUCCUUAGGACAACCAGGACUCUACUAUCAAGGAUUCCUUAUAAGUUUGCAUUAUCUGGACAUAGUGGACUAGGUAGGUGGUUGCGGGUUCAACUCUCUAACCAAUGGUGCCGGGUUCAAGUCCUCAGAUUACAGUGAUGCGUCCUUGAGCAAGGCGCCCUAAAGCCUGCCUGCUCCUUUAUGACAUAUCUUUGGUUCAGAUAAUGUUGAAUCUUUUGAAAAUUGAACCUAAUCAAUGUCCUUGUUUGGUCCGGGCAGACGCACCUGAGCUGAACCUCACCUGAUCCUGUUUUGUCGGGGGUAGACACACCUGAGCUGAACGCGCCCUGAUCCUGACAUCCUGCUGGUCCCGUCUCCUCAGUUCAUCUGAGCCUCGUCCUCCAGAAGACCUGCUGAGCUCAGCAGUCUGAGGCUGAUGGAUCAAUGACCUCCAGUGGGAGUGAUCUUCUUGACCCCACAUGUAACCCUGUGCUUCCACAUGCCUUUCCCUCACGUCUGUCACUAACUUCACUACUCUCUACUGCUUCCUCUUUUCUUCCUUCUCUGUGGUUCAAACCUUUACACUGAAGGCGCGUCUUCCUGCCCUCAGAGGGUUCAGCGUUAGGGUUGAGAGUCAGGGUUUAGAGUCAGGGACAGAGCUGGUCAGGGAGGACUGCUUUUACACAAACCUCUUCACUUGCUUUCGGAAUGGUGGACAUUUUAAAAGAUUAAUUUGGGAAAAUGUUUUCCUCUGCUUUCCUUUACAAAAUUGUGUUAAACUUCUGUCAAGUGUUUUUUAUAUUAAAAUCCCACAUUGACUUCUACAUGUUUGGUGCUGUUCAUUUAAUUGUCCUUUAACUUAGUUAAUGUCAAGCUAAACUCCUG
ensembl:lncRNA